rnacentral:rRNA from 1 species
GGAAGUAAAAAGUCGUAACAAGGUCUCCGUUGGUGAACCAGCGGAGGGAUCAUUACCGAGUUUACAACUCCCAAACCCAAUGUGAACGUUACCAAACUGUUGCCUCGGCGGGAUCUCUGCCCCGGGUGCGUCGCAGCCCCGGACCAAGGCGCCCGCCGGAGGACCAACCAAAACUCUUUUUGUAUACCCCCUCGCGGGUUUUUUAUAAUCUGAGCCUUCUCGGCGCCUCUCGUAGGCGUUUCGAAAAUGAAUCAAAACUUUCAACAACGGAUCUCUUGGUUCUGGCAUCGAUGAAGAACGCAGCGAAAUGCGAUAAGUAAUGUGAAUUGCAGAAUUCAGUGAAUCAUCGAAUCUUUGAACGCACAUUGCGCCCGCCAGUAUUCUGGCGGGCAUGCCUGUCCGAGCGUCAUUUCAACCCUCGAACCCCUCCGGGGGGUCGGCGUUGGGGAUCGGCCCUGCCUCUUGGCGGUGGCCGUCUCCGAAAUACAGUGGCGGUCUCGCCGCAGCCUCUCCUGCGCAGUAGUUUGCACACUCGCAUCGGGAGCGCGGCGCGUCCACAGCCGUUAAACACCCAACUUCUGAAAUGUUGACCUCGGAUCAGGUAGGAAUACCCGCUGAACUUAAGCAUAUCAAUAAGCGGGAGGAA